UACAGAGGCCUCAAGCGUUAGGCGGAAUCACUGGGCUUAAAGCGUGUGUAGGCGGAUGCCUAAGUACCUUGUGAAAUCCCACGGCUCACCCGUGGAACGGCUGGGUAUACUGGGUGUCUUGGGCCAUUUAGGGGCAACUGGAACAAGCGGUGGAGCGGUGAAAUGCGUAGAUAUCGCUUGGAACGCCGAAGGUGAAAACAGGUUGCUGGGAAUGUGCCGACGCUGAGACACGAAAGCCAGGGGAGCGAACGGG
rnacentral:rRNA from 1 species